CUGGGCCCAGGGCUGGUGGUAGAACUCAGCCCGGCGUUCCUCUUCAGGGUUACCAGCCACAUCUGUCAUCACCUGGGAGGGAGCAUGGGAUCUGAGUUCCCCAGAACCUCACCUGCCCGAGUUGCAUGUCCAUCUUUCCCUCCCCACGUGCUUGUCUUGUUGUCAGUGCUCCCUGAGCCCUCUCUUCACCUUGAGGUCUCGGCUCUGAGAGCGGAGCAGGUCUUGGACGUAGCCUUUUGGGUCUCUGGAGAAACUUAGCAUGAAGUCCCUCUGGAUCUUGAGCUGGUUUAUGGACUCAAUCGUCUCGUGGAUCUACAGCUCUGGGCUCAGGCCGCACCUUACUGUCCAGAGCGCUGAUCUCCUGCUGGUUGGCUGUGGACAGGAGAAAGCUGCUCAUCUGCCCCUUCAGUGGCUCCUCUACCUCCACGUCAAUGUCAUAGCACGCUGUCUUCUUCUGGUCUGAUGGGUCCACGCUGCCAGAGAAGCCCAGCCUUUGAUGUCCAUGGUACACCCCACAGAAGUCCAGGGGUAGGGCAUGGGUGGGUACAGGAGAAGGGUGGAGAAAGCAGGGAAGGCUUUCCUCUGUGGAGGAAGCUAGGCCACCUCACCUGAUGACAUGGUUGAUGACAAUUGGGUCAGGGGGCAGCAGCAGGGCUGUGAGGCGCUGGGGAAUCUCAGAGAACUUCAAUCGGGGACAGUCAAAAAUCUGAAGCAGGAUUUUGAGAAGGGGGGGUCAUCCUUGUGUAUGUUGUGUGAAGAGACAGUAACUAAGUUGGAUCCUUCCAUUCUGGAAAGACCACAAGAAGCUGAGAGCAAGUCAGAUUACUGAGUGAGCAUGGCAAUGAGCCAGGCUGGAGGUGGAAAAGCAGGCAUGCCCAAGGGGAGGCCAGUGUGGACACUAAGUAUGCCUGUUUGGCUGUCAGUCCCUUGUACCACAUUCCGUGAGCAAAUUACUUAACACCUUGGGUCUCAGCGCCUCCAUCUCUAGAACUGGGGAUAUUAACAAUCCCCAUUUCAAUGGUUGUCAUGAAGGUUAGGUAAAUUAGAAUACAAAAGUAAGUGUUUGGAAUGGUAUAUGGUAAGUGCUCAAUAAAAUCCAACUACUCUUUCUACUCAGA